GUGCUCGCUUCAGCAGAACAUAUACUAAAAUUGGAAAGAUACAGAGAAGAUUCACAUGGCCCCUGUGCAAGGAUGACACUCAAAUUCGCUAACCACUCCAUGUUUUU
ensembl:snRNA U6 U6 spliceosomal RNA